UGAGGAAUAUUGGACAAUGGGCGCAAGUCUGAUCCAGCCAUGCCGCGUGCAGGAAGAAGCAUCUAUGGUGUGUAAACUGCUUUUGUACGGGCAGAAACACUCCUUCGUGAAGGAGCUUGACUGUACCGUAAGAAUAAGGAUCGGCUAACUCCGUGCCAGCAGCCGCGGUAAUACGUAGGAUCCAAGCGUUAUCCGGAAUCAUUGGGUUUAAAGGGUCCGUAGGCGGUUUAGUAAGUCAGUGGUGAAAGCCCAUCGCUCAACGAUGGAACGGCCAUUGAUACUGCUAGACUUGAAUUAUUAGGAAGUAACUAGAAUAUAUAGUGUAGCGGUGAAAUGCUAAGAUAUUACAUGGAAUACCAAUUGCGAAGGCAGGUUAGUACUAAUGGAUUAACGCUGACGGACGAAAGCGUGGGGAGCAAACA
rnacentral:rRNA from 1 species